GGUGUUGUGGGCUAGUGGAUGAAGCUCUGGGACUGUGAACCAUAAGGUGCAGGGUUCAAAUCCCUGCAGCAGCA
rfam:Strongylocentrotus purpuratus Contig41279_fixed, whole genome shotgun sequence.